UCAAGAAACUUCCACAAUGGGCGAAAGCCUGAUGGAGCGACGUCGCGUGAUGGACGAAGUGCUUCGGCACGUAAACAUCUUUUAUGUGGGAUGAAAUUAUUGACAGUACCACAUGAAUAAGGGGCUCCUAACUCUGUGCCAGCAGGAGCGGUAAUACAGAGGUCCCAAGCGUUAUCCGGAAUCACUGGGCGUAAAGGGUGUCGAGGCGGUUGUAUUAGUCGUUCGUAAAAUCUACGAGCUUAACUUGUAGGCGGCGAACGAAACGGUACGACUUGAGGUUUGGAGAGGUGCGUGGAACUCACGGUGUAGGGGUGAAAUCCGUUGAUAUCGUGGGGAACACCAAAGGCGAAGGCAGCGCACUGGCCAAAAUCUGACGCUCACACACGAAAGCUAGGGUAGCGAAGAGGAUUAGAUACCCGUGUAGUCCCUGAGCGGGCUGGCAAGGCGCAU
rnacentral:rRNA from 1 species